UCCCUCUAUAAGCUCCAUGCACAAUGGAAGAGGAUGACCACCCCUGACAGUGGAGGAACAUUUCCUCAGUCAGAGGUUUAUGAGUAGCUGUGCUCCCUUGUUAGAACCUUUGAAAAAACUUUUGAGUAAGUCAUUGAUC
rnacentral:sRNA from 1 species